CAGCUUGAAAGUUAGUAAUUAUCUGAUUAAUGACCAUCUCACAAAGGGCUUCUUCUCCAGGAUGAUGAGUGUAAGUGUAUCUGGACUCAAGGGGAAGAUUCUAACCUGCUGCUACAUGAAUAGUGAAAUAUUUAAAAUUGGAUGUACGGAGUGGGAAGAUUGGAUGAUGCUGUGGCAACAUUUUGUUAAGUACCAGAAUCCCGGAGAAAUCACUCGAAGCACGUUAUCCGAAGAACAGAUGGUCGGUGUCCCUCCUGAUCUGAAGGUAUUUCUGGCUGUCAUGUGCUUAUUCUAUAAAUAAGCCCCACUGAGAGGCAGUGGAAGUGAGCUAGGUAAAGAUAGUAACAAUGAUGACAGAGAACUAGAUGGUUGGAUGGCAUCACCAACUCAAUGGACAUGAAUUUGGGCAAGCUCUGGGAGAUGGUAAAAGACAAGGAAGCCUGGCGUGCUACAGUCCAUGGGGUUGCAAAGAGUCGGACGCGACUGAGUAACUGAAAACAACAGCCAAAGAUAAUAUAACACCUAUGGAGACCGACUUGAGAGAUGCACAGAAAAGCUUUCCGGUUACCUACAUUUCACAAGGAGGAUGAUUCCAUUGGAAAGGGAGGAAGCUCAGGACUUUCUGCUCAGUUUUAAUUUUUCUUUUUUAACAUAUAAGACUGUGCUGAGUCUUCUUCAGAUGCUGGAAAGAAGUCGAAGAAGAUUAUACUCACCCUACUUACCACAGUUAUGCUGCUGCUUAUGAACCAGGAUCUACCAUAAAAGAGUAAAUCCUGAUUACUGUUCUCAAAGUGCUCAUAUUGAGAAGGAAAGGCUGACACACAGCUAGAUAAUUGUGACUGAUUUGACCCUGUGAAAUGAAAAUAUCUCCUGCCAUAUUAAUAAACAAGAAAGGUCACAGCCA
ensembl:lncRNA